rnacentral:sRNA from 2 species
GGACAAUGCGUUUCAAGGAUAUAAUAACUGUAUUUUUGCGUACGGCCAAACUGGAUCUGGCAAGUCGUAUUCCAUGAUGGGGUACGGCGAAGAAGCGGGCGUUAUCCCCAAGAUCUGCAAGGAUAUGUUCUUGAGGAUCGCUGCGCUUCAGUCCGCGGAUAAAAAUCUUACGUGUACGGUGGAGGUGUCGUAUCUCGAGAUUUACAACGAGAGGGUCAGGGAUUUGCUUAACCCCACAACCAAGGGCAACCUUAAAGUUCGAGAGCAUCCUUCAACGGGGCCCUACGUUGAAGAUUUGGCGAAGCUGGUGGUUCGCUCUUUCCAGGAAAUCGAGAACUUGAUGGACGAGGGUAACAAGGCGCGAACCGUCGCGGCCACAAAUAUGAACGAGACGUCCAGUCGAUCACACGCCGUUUUUACCCUUACAGUGACACAAAAGCGCC